AUUGGUGCGCAGUGGCGAUAUCGUAACCAAUGAGGUACAACCGAGGUGCGAUUAUUGCUAGUUGAAAACUAAUACCAAAUGGGUACAAACUUUUUAACCAUGUAAUGGGUUAUUCCACUUUUGUUGAAAAUGAGUAGUU